rnacentral:rRNA from 1 species
UACGAAGGGGGCUAGCGUUGUUCGGAAUUACUGGGCGUAAAGCGCGCGCAGGCGGUUCUUCAAGCCAGAGGUGAAAGCCCAGAGCUCAACUCUGGAAUGGCCUUUGAGACUAGAGAACUAGGGUACGGGAGAGGUGAGUGGAAUUCCGAGUGUAGAGGUGAAAUUCGUAGAUAUUCGGAAGAACACCAGUGGCGAAGGCGACUCACUGGACACAUAUUGACGCUGAGGUGCGAAAGCGUGGGGAGCAAACAGG